rnacentral:rRNA from 1 species
UACAGAGGGUGCGAGCGUUGUCCGGAAUCACUGGGCGUAAAGGGCGCGUAGGCGGCUUGAUAAGCGUGCGGUGAAAGCCCGGGGCUCAACCCCGGGUCGGCCGUGCGAACUGUCGAGCUGGAGCACUGUAGAGGCAGGUGGAAUUCCGGGUGUAGCGGUGGAAUGCGUAGAGAUCCGGAAGAACACCGGUGGCGAAGGCGGCUCACUGGCCCGGUACUGACGCUGAGGUGCGAAAGCGUGGGGAGCAAACAGG